UGAGGAAUAUUGGUCAAUGGACGGAAGUCUGAACCAGCCAAGUAGCGUGCAGGAUGACGGCCCUAUGGGUUGUAAACUGCUUUUGUAUGGGGAUAAAGUUAGGGACGUGUCCCUAUUUGCAGGUACCAUACGAAUAAGGACCGGCUAAUUCCGUGCCAGCAGCCGCGGUAAUACGGAAGGUCCAGGCGUUAUCCGGAUUUAUUGGGUUUAAAGGGAGCGUAGGCUGGAGAUUAAGUGUGUUGUGAAAUGUAGACGCUCAACGUCUGAAUUGCAGCGCAUACUGGUUUCCUUGAGUACGCACAACGUUGGCGGAAUUCGUCGUGUAGCGGUGAAAUGCUUAGAUAUGACGAAGAACUCCGAUUGCGAAGGCAGCUGACGGGGGCGCAACUGACGCUUAAGCUCGAAGGUGCGGGUAUCAAACAGG
rnacentral:rRNA from 1 species